AUUGAACGCUGGCGGAAUGCUUUACACAUGCAAGUCGAACGGUAGAGGGGGCAACCCCUUGAGAGUGGCGAACGGGUGAGUAAUAUAUCGGAACGUGCCCAGUCGUGGGGAUAACGUAGCGAAAGUUACGCUAAUACCGCAUACGAUCUACGGAUGAAAGCGGGGGACUCGCAAGAGCCUCGCGCGAUUGGAGCGGCCGAUAUCAGAUUAGGUAGUUGGUGGGGUAAAGGCUCACCAAGCCAACGAUCUGUAGCUGGUCUGAGAGGACGACCAGCCACACUGGAACUGAGACACGGUCCAGACUCCUACGGGAGGCAGCAGUGGGGAAUUUUUGGGACAAUGGGCGCAAGCCUGAUCCAGCAAUGCCGCGUGCAGGAUGAAGGCCU
rnacentral:rRNA from 1 species